rfam:Choloepus hoffmanni cont1.168130, whole genome shotgun sequence.
AUGUCCCCCUUCCUCGGUUCCCCUCUUCUCCAUUUUCCCUUUCAGCUGCUCUUAUUACAUGGAGUUUGGAGCCUAAACUUUGAACACUCUCAUAUGGCGCCUGUCUUAAAUCGGAGCAUGCUCAGUA